rnacentral:rRNA from 1 species
AUGAACGCUGGCGGCGUGCCUAAUACAUGCAAGUCGAGCGAACAGACGAGGAGCUUGCUCCUCUGACGUUAGCGGCGGACGGGUGAGUAACACGUGGAUAACCUACCUAUAAGACUGGGAUAACUUCGGGAAACCGGAGCUAAUACCGGAUAAUAUAUUGAACCGCAUGGUUCAAUAGUGAAAGACGGUUUUGCUGUCACUUAUAGAUGGAUCCGCGCCGCAUUAGCUAGUUGGUAAGGUAACGGCUUACCAAGGCGACGAUGCGUAGCCGACCUGAGAGGGUGAUCGGCCACACUGGAACUGAGACACGGUCCAGACUCCUACGGGAGGCAGCAGUAGGGAAUCUUCCGCAAUGGGCGAAAGCCUGACGGAGCAACGCCGCGUGAGUGAUGAAGGUCUUCGGAUCGUAAAACGCUGUUAUUAGGGAAGAACAAAUGUGUAAGUAACUAUGCACGUCUUGACGGUACCUAAUCAGAAAGCCACGGCUAACUACGU